rnacentral:rRNA from 1 species
GACAGAGGGUGCAAACGUUGUUCGGAAUUACUGGGCGUAAAGCGCGUGUAGGCGGCUAUGUAAGUCGGGUGUGAAAGCCCUGGGCUCAACCCAGGAAGUGCAUUCGAUACUACGUAGCUUGAGUCCCGGAGAGGAUGGUGGAAUUCUCGGUGUAGAGGUGAAAUUCGUAGAUAUCGAGAGGAACACCGGUGGCGAAGGCGGCCAUCUGGACGGUGACUGACGCUGAGACGCGAAAGCGUGGGGAGCAAACAGG